rnacentral:rRNA from 1 species
AUUGAACGCUGGCGGCAUGCCUUACACAUGCAAGUCGAGCGGCAGCGCGGGGGCAACCCUGGCGGCGAGCGGCGAACGGGUGAGUAAUACAUCGGAACGUGUCUAGUAGUGGGGGAUAACCUGUCGAAAGAUAGGCUAAUACCGCAUACGAUCUACGGAUGAAAGCGGGGGACCGCAAGGCCUCGCGCUAUUGGAGCGGCCGAUGUCGGAUUAGCUAGUUGGCGGGGUAAAAGCCCACCAAGGCGACGAUCCGUAGCUGGUCUGAGAGGACGACCAGCCACACUGGAACUGAGACACGGUCCAGACUCCUACGGGAGGCAGCAGUGGGGAAUUUUGGACAAUGGGGGCAACCCUGAUCCAGCCAUGCCGCGUGAGUGAAGAAGGCCUUCGGGUUGUAAAGCUCUUUCGGCGGGGACGAAACGGUUCGUGCCAACACCACGGACUAAUGACGGUACUCGCAGAAGAAGCACCGGCUAACUACGUGCCAGCAGCCGCGGUAA